rnacentral:rRNA from 1 species
GACGGAGGGUGCUAGCGUUGUUCGGAAUCACUGGGCGUAAAGGGCGCGUAGGCGGCCGCCCGCGUCGGACAUGAAAGCCCGGGGCUCAACCCCGGAACGGCGUCCGAUACGGGGCGGCUCGAGGCCGGGAGAGGGGGGUGGAAUACCCAGUGUAGAGGUGAAAUUCGUAGAUAUUGGGUGGAACACCCGUGGCGAAGGCGGCUCUCUGGGACGGUACUGACGCUGAGACGCGAAAGCGUGGGGAGCGAACAGG